rnacentral:rRNA from 1 species
CUCGGCGGGAUCUCUGCCCCGGGCGCGUCGCAGCCCCGGACCAAGGCGCCCGCCGGAGGACCAACCAAAACUCUUUUUGUAUACCCCCUCGCGGGUUUUUUUAUAAUCUGAGCCUUCUCGGCGCCUCUCGUAGGCGUUUCGAAAAUGAAUCAAAACUUUCAACAACGGAUCUCUUGGUUCUGGCAUCGAUGAAGAACGCAGCGAAAUGCGAUAAGUAAUGUGAAUUGCAGAAUUCAGUGAAUCAUCGAAUCUUUGAACGCACAUUGCGCCCGCCAGUAUUCUGGCGGGCAUGCCUGUCCGAGCGUCAUUUCAACCCUCGAACCCCUCCGGGGGGUCGGCGUUGGGGAUCGGCCCUCCCUUAGCGGGUGGCCGUCUCCGAAAUACAGUGGCGGUCUCGCCGCAGCCUCUCCUGCGCAGUAGUUUGCACACUCGCAUCGGGAGCGCGGCGCGUCCACAGCCGUAAACACCCACUUCUAAAUGU